rnacentral:lncRNA from 1 species
UUUUUUUUUUUUAAGGCAACCUGGUCUUUAUUAUUUCUACCAAAGUUGCUAUAUUCCAAAUCAGCAUAGUUUUUAACAUAUUUUUUUUUGUUACAGGUGAACUGCUUUAGCAGUAUGAGGCAGUCAUUUUAAAAAGCUUUGUUUUCCUACCCAUUUCCACUUUACUUUUAAAAGGCUAUUCUUGGAGGUAGAAAUACAACUGUUGAUGAAAAGAAUGAGAUAAGGAAUAGUUUUUCUCUACAUCUCCUGAGGUGAGGUCCUUCAGCUGUUCUUGAGCACGUCAACCUCGUUCAUCUUCUUUCCUUGACAUCCACAUAAGAGCCAAGGUGUAAAAUUGAUUGGACUGUGAUU